AGUGAACGCUGGCGGCGUGCUUAACACAUGCAAGUCGAACGAGAACGGGUCUUAGCUUGCUAAGACUGUCAGCUAAGUGGCGGACGGGUGAGUAAUGUAUAGCUAAUGUGCCCCUUAGAGAGGGAUAACAGUUGGAAACGACUGCUAAUACCUCAUACUCCUUCUAAACCUAAGUUUAGUCGGGAAACGUUUUUUCGCUAAGGGAUCGGGCUAUAUGGUAUCAGCUUGUUGGUGAGGUAACGGCUCACCAAGGCUAUGACGCCUAGCUGGUCUGAGAGGAUGAUCAGCCACACUGGAACUGAGACACGGUCCAGACUCCUACGGGAGGCAGCAGUGGGGAAUAUUGCACAAUGGGGGAAACCCUGAUGCAGCAACGCCGCGUGGAGGAUGACGCAUUUCGGUGUGUAAACUCCUUUUAUAUAGGAAGAUAAUGACGGUACUAUAUGAAUAAGCACCGGCUAACUCCGUG
rnacentral:rRNA from 1 species